UUCUAGCAUAUCUAAGCGUUCUAGGUGACUUCUCACUUUGCAUUGCCAAAGAGCUAAUGUGUUGCCAAAACUGACAAGACGACCUCCAAGUGUUUCUAGUGUGCUAACAAAUCCUUGCUAUAGACCAGUAUGUCAUUAAAGAAGACCAACACGAAUUUUCUCAACUGAUUUCGAAAGACCUGAUUCAUUAAGGAUUGGAACGUGGCUGGCGCAUUAGAGAGCCCGAAUGACAUGACUAGAAACUCGUAGUGUCCCUCAUAAGUCCGAAUGCAGUCUUAUGCACAUCAUCCUUAUUCACCCUAAUUUGGAGGUAUCCCGACCUUAAAUCCAAUUUUGAAAAGAUAGUGGCACCACGAAGUUCAUUUAGCAAUUCAUCGAUCAUCGAAAUUGGAAACUUACCCGAUAUGGUUGCCUUGUUCAAGGCGCUGUAAUCUACACAGAAGCACCAACUACCAUCUUUCUUUUUCAGUAGUAAUACAGGGUUGGAAAAUCGACUAACACUAGGCUGUAUAAUUCCAGCCGCUAACAUUUCUUGGACCAAUCGUUCAAUCUCAUUUUUUUGAAUAUGGGGACACCUGAAAGGCCUUACUGUAGGUUGAGAGACUUGAAAAGAGAUGAGAAAACUGUCUUUUUUCUUUUCUUUUACAUUACAGCCGAGUGCCCUCUUUUAUAGUACUCAAGAGGGGCUAAAAUGAGGAAAUAAAAAAUAUUCUCAUAUCCUACCUUAUCUCCAAGAAUCAUCCCUAAUUACAAUAAUUACAAUUUUCCCUAAAUACAAUAGUUAACUAAGGCAACUAAGAUAUUAUCAUAUCUUUGGGAUUUCAACACUCCCUUCAAGUUGGAUCAUAAAUGUUGAUCAUAUCCAACUUGUGAAUGAAAUGAUCAAAUUUUUGUCGAGAUAGACCUUUGGUGAAGAUGUCUGCAAUUUGUUCCCGUGUAGGAACAUAUGUCAUACAAAUAGUUCAUUCAUCUACCUUUUCUUUGAUAAAGUGCGUCUACCUCUACAUGUUUAGUUCGAUAAUGUUGAACCGGGUUGAGAGAAAUGUUGAUUGCAACUUUUUUAUCACAAUACAGUUUAAUUGGAGCCGUUAACGUAACGUGCAACUCUUCCAGAAGUUUCUUUAACCACAGUCCCUCACAUAUCACUUGUGCUACUGCUCUAAACUCGGUUUCAGCACUACUUCCAGCUACAAUAUUUUGCUUCUUACUUCUCCAAGUUACUAGAUUACCCCAUACAAAGGUGCAAUAUCUAGUAGUUGACCUUCUAUCAUCUGUUGAACCUCCCAGUCUGCAUCUGUAAAGAUUUCUAUUCCCUUUUCAUCAUUCUUCUUGAAGAAUAAUCCUUUUCCGGAGGAUCCCUUGAGAUAUCUGAGUAUCUUGUAGACUGCUUCAAGAUGAGCUUCCUUCGGAGAACGCAUAUGUUGGCUUGCCACACUAACUGCAAAUGCAAUAUUAGGUCUAGUAUGUGACAAAUAGAUUAGUUUACCCACAAGUCGAUAUCUGUCAAUAUCUACAGAGUUUCCGACAUUCUUGACCUUUUUUUCUACAUCGAUCGAUCGGUGUAUCACUCGAUUUACAUCCAAGCAUUCCAAUCUCGAUAAGGAGAUCAAGUAUAUCUUUUCUUUGCGAGACACGGAUACCUCUAUGUGACCUUGCUAUUUCCAUUCCCAAGAAGUAUCACAUUUGUCCCAGAUCUUUUACUUCAAAUUCUGCUGCCAAACUCUUCUUUAGUCUAUCUAUCUCUAUUAUGUUGUCAUCUGUCAAGAUUAUAUCAACAUAAACAAUUAAGACUAUUUUCGUCCCAUCAUCAAACUGCUUGAGGAACAUAGUGUCUGUCCUUGUUGGUAUUCUUGCCUCGUCAGUACCUUUGCAAAUCUGUCAAACCAUGCCAUAGGUGAAUGUUUGAGACCAUAUAGUGACUUCUUGAGUUAACAUGUUUGAUUCUUUUCGCCUGCUUUGCAAAAGCCUGGAGGUAGUGUCAUGUAAACCUCUUCUUCCAAUUCUCCAUAGAGGAAUGCAUUCUUAAUAUCCAUUUGUUGAAGGUGCCAAUCUAAAUUUGUUGCCAAUGAUAAAAGUACUCGAAUAGUAUUCAAUUUUUCCACAGGUGCAAAUGUCUCUGUGUAAUCAAUUCCAUAUGUCUAUGUUUAUCCCUUGGCAACCAAUCGUGCCUUGUACCUUUUUAUUGUCCCAUUAGCCUUGUAUUUUAGGUUGAAGACCCAUUUGCAUCCAACUAGAUUUUUCCCUUUAGGCAGCUCUACUAUCUCCUAAGUUUUGUUAUUUUCCAAUGCUCGCAUUUCAUCCAUUAGUACCUCUCUCCACUUUGGAACUUCCAAGGCUUCCUGAAUGUUUUUAGGAAUUUUGGUGUUGUCAAAAUGAGAGAUAAAACUACGGAAUUCUGUUGAUAGAGCAUUAUAGGACGUGAACUUUGAAAUGGGAUGAAAAGUACAUGAUCGAAUUUGUUUUCUGAGUGCAAUGGAAAGAUUAAUAUCUGAGGAUUCUAAUACCUUUGUGGUGUCAUGGGAUUCUGGAGCUACCAUCGGUUCUGACUCUUUUGGUACUUCAGGUGUAAAGUCCUCCUUCUACUUUGCUUUUGGUCUUCUUGAGUAGAUAAGCAUCUCAUUGUCUCUUUGCUUUUCUGCAUUUCCCCCUAAGUUCAAGCUAUCUCCUAUUAAUGGCAAAGAAGGACUAGAAGUUAUGAUUGAGACAGGCUCUAAUGGGAAGAAGAUCUAAGUUUAGGUACCGAUCUUCACUUUGAUUCUCCCCCCGAAGAGAGGUUUGGCGAAAAUAUGGAAUGUUUUCAAAAAACGUGACAUCGAGACUCACGGUGACUUUUCCUAUGGAAGGAUCGUAACAUUUGUAUCCUUUUUGAGUAGGAGAGUAUCCAGUAAAGACACAUUUGAUAGCUCGAGGGUCGAGUUUAUUUCGGUGAUUUUUAGGGAUAUGGAUGAAGGCAGUACAACCAAACACUUUUGAGUAAGAAGUUUGAGUUGAGUCGAGAAUUCAGAAAGGAGUUUUGGAACCAUUUAAGAGGUGAGUCGAGGUUUAAGGUAUGACUAGGCAUUCGAUUGAUGAGGUACGUGGCUGUUAAGAUAGCAUCCCCCCAAAAUCCAUUUGGCAUAUUUGUAGUAAAUAUCAAGGCUCGAGCAACCUCUAGGAGGUGUCUGCUUUUCGUUCAGCA
rnacentral:lncRNA from 1 species